rnacentral:rRNA from 1 species
GAGGAAAGCUGGCGGCGUGCCUAAUACAUGCCAGUCGAGCGAACGGACGAGAAGCUUGCUUUUCUGAUGUUAGCGGCGGACGGGUGAGUAACACGUGGAUAACCUACCUAUAAGACUGGGAUAACUUCGGGAAACCGGAGCUAAUACCGGAUAAUAUUUUGAACCGCAUGGUUCAAAAGUGAAAGACGGUCUUGCUGUCACUUAUAGAUGGAUCCGCGCUGCAUUAGCUAGUUGGUAAGGUAACGGCUUACCAAGGCAACGAUGCAUAGCCGACCUGAGAGGGUGAUCGGCCACACUGGAACUGAGACACGGUCCAGACUCCUACGGGAGGCAGCAGUAGGGAAUCUUCCGCAAUGGGCGAAAGCCUGACGGAGCAACGCCGCGUGAGUGAUGAAGGUCUUCGGAUCGUAAAACUCUGUUAUUAGGGAAGAACAUAUGUGUAAGUAACUGUGCACAUCUUGACGGUACCUAAUCAGAAAGCCACGGCUAACUACGUG